GGGUCAGUAGGUUGGUCGUGCCACCGGUACGUACUGGUCUCACUGGUUCCUCCUUCCUGAAGAACCGUAAUGCCAUUAAUUUGGUGUUGCGGGGAAACAGGACUGUUACUUUGAAAAAAUUAGAGUGUUUAAAGCAAGCUAACGCCUGAAUACAUUAGCAUGGAAUAAUGAAAUAGGACGAUCGAUCCUAUUUUGUUGGUUUCUAGGAUUGACGUA
rnacentral:rRNA from 1 species